rnacentral:tRNA from 1 species
GGCCCUGUAGCUCAGUGGGAGAGCGCCGCCCUGUCACGGCGGAGGUCGAGGGAUCAAAACCCUUCAGGGUCGCCA